AGCAGUGGAGGGAGGGGGCAGCAGAGGAAGGGAUUUGGACUCCAUGUGGCUCCUUCUCUCUCUCUCAGUGCCCCAAUCACCAGGACUGGCCUGAAAGAAUCUCCUCCCCCACGGGCCAGAGUCCCAGCUUCGCUAGGCUGGUGGAGAGGAAGAGGAACAGUCCUGAGGAGAUGCCUGAGAGGCACAUGGAGAGAUAGGCCCCAGUGGAGGUGAGCAGACUGCAAGCAGCAGGGACCCGUGGCCUCUCUCCCACACUCCAUAACAGCUGGAAGAGCAGUUGGCCAGGAUUGCAACCGACCAGCAACAACAGCCUCAAGAGGAGACAGAGAGACAGCAUGAGGUCAACAAGCCCAGGAACAUACAAAGCAGUUCCUGGAUCCUAAAUAUUCACGUGUGCGCCUCUUUGUAGUCAGCCACACCUUGUCUACCAGUCCCUGGCAACCUCCAAUGAGGAAUUGAAUUCUACAAUUCCUCAUUAGGAAGAAGAGGCUGGCUUCGGACCUGAAGUCUUCAAGGCCCAACCUCUCCAGUGCCUGUGUUAGGAUUACAAGCAGCACACCCGCCCUGGCUCCCUUUGGUAUUUUAUUUGAGACUGAAUUCCAUUGGAACUGCAUAUGGAUGAAGGGUGGCUUGACAUUCACUUAAGAGUCUUGGAGUGGGGUUGGGGAUUUAGCUCAGUGGUAGAGCAGCUGGGUUCAGUCCCCAGCUCCGGGGGGGGGGGGAUUUUUUUUCCUCCCCCCCCCCCCGGAGCUGGGGACCAAACCCAGGGCCUUGCGCUUGCUAGGCAAGCACUCUACCACUGAGCCAAAUCCCCAACCCGGAAGCUUUCUUUAUUCAAGUAAAAAGUCUGUCUUUGCACUUUCGUGAACAAUGUUAAUUUUGUCUGGAUUGACUUCUGUGCAUGAAAGAAAGGGUUAAAAGGUAUUCAGACUGAAACACAAGGAUCAAGAGUUUAAAGCUGAAUGGUUGGAUACAGAGGGGAUUUGGGACCAGCCUGGGUUACAUGAAGACAUUUCAUCCAAAAAAAAAAAAAAAAAAAGUAAAUGGAAAGUGACUGGUAUCUUGGGAGGAAGGACUGAGGGAACUUCCUUCACAGCCAGUCUGUAGAGGAGAACUGUCCCCAUCCCUGCCUUCACUCAGAUGCCCCAAUGACAUUAAGGGGAUAGGAAACCUAAGGGGAUAGACUGGACGGGAGGCUCUGUGGCUUUUUAACAGGAGCCCCUUCUCCAACACCCCAUGCUCCCCAGACUGCAGCGCCCAGAGACUCACCCCUUAAUCUAGCUGAGCAAGAGGGUGACAUGGUCUAUCCCAGGGUAAUGGGGUCAUGACAGGGUCCAGGGCCCCCCCAAGACACAGUCAAGACAGUGGGGCCAUGAAGGUUUGUGCUUAUCUCUUUAUUGUUUCUGUCCAGGGCCCCUGCGGUGGGAGGGGCAGGCAGGGGAGGUGGCAUCCUCCCACCAACCUGAGCCCACUCUCUGCCUCUCUCUUCUUUCCUCUCCAACUUCUCACCCAUCCUCUCUCCUUCUGUAUCUCCUGCUCCCACAUCCAGCACCUUCCAGUUCUCUCUUACAGCCCCUGCUUUCCAAGCCUAUCCUGAGCUGGGGUGGGAAAGAGAGGGGCCACGAGGACAUUUUUCAGGCCCCCCCUUCUCCAUC